UAUGUUAUAUAAACGAAUAUA
rnacentral:piRNA from 1 species